AAACUGUCUACGCUCAGUCACUAUUGAUCGUUUCAUGCUGUAAGAAGUGUUUACAAAUAAUAUCCGUACACGUUUGUUGGUGAAAAUAAGAUACGGUGUUGGCUACUCGAGGCAUCUAAUUUUGAAUAAUUUCAAGAUAAAUUAUAGUAACGAAGCGAUGGAAAGCAGAAAGGAUUUAGUUAGCAUUAAAGAAGAGCCUCGUGACAAUUGGGAAGAUGUUGCCAACGAGAGUGUCGAUCCGGGGGUCUCGGUCAAAACCGAAAACUCUGAUGAAUCAUCGGCAAAUCCCACCAAU